rnacentral:rRNA from 1 species
AACGAACGCUGGCGGCAUGCCUAACACAUGCAAGUCGAACGAGACCUUCGGGUCUAGUGGCGCACGGGUGCGUAACGAGUGGGAACCUACCCUUAGGUUAGGAAUAACUCCCCGAAAGGGGUGCUAAUACCGGAUAAGGUCAUCGGGCAAAAGAUUUAUCGCCUUUGGAUGGGGCCGGGUAGGAUUAGCUAGUUGGUAGGGUAAAAGCCUACCAAGGCGACGAUCCAUAGCUGGUGUGAGAGGCUGAUCAGCCACACUGGGACUGAGACACGGCCCAGACUCCUACGGGAGGCAGCAGUGGGGAAUAUUGGACAAUGGGCGAAAGCCUGAUCCAGCAAUGCCGCGUGAGUGAUGAAGGCCUUAGGGUUGUAAAGCUCUUUUACCCGGGAUGAUAAUGACAGUACCGGGAGAAUAAGCUCCGGCUAACUCCGUG